AUUGAACGCUGGCGGCAGGCCUAACACAUGCAAGUCGAGCGGAGCGGCGGACGGGUGAGGAAUGCCUAUGAAUCUGCAUGGUAGUGGUGGAUAACGUCCGCAAACGGGCGCUAAUACCGCAUCCUAUCAGAUUAGCCUAGGUCUGAUUAGCUAUGUGGUGGGGUAAAGGCAUACCAAGGCGACGAUCCGUAGCUGGUCUGAGAGGAUGAUAAGUCACACGGGAACGGAGAACAGGUCCAGACUCCUACGGGAGGCAGCAGUGGGGAAUAUUGGACAAUGGGCGCAAGCCUGAUGCAGCCAUGCCGCGUGUGUGAAGAAGGUCUUCGGAUUGUAAAGCACUUUAAGUUGGGAGGCGUUACCAACAGAAUAAGCACCGGCUAACUACGUGCCAGCAGCCGCGGUAAUUC
rnacentral:rRNA from 1 species